rnacentral:tRNA from 1 species
AUUUAUAUAGCUUAUUUAGAGCAUUGUAUUGAAGAUACAGGGGAAAUUUUUAUUUAUAAAUA